rnacentral:rRNA from 1 species
ACGACUGGUAAUCUGUGUCAGCCGCCGCGGUAACACCGGCGGCCCGAGUGGUAAGCCGUUUUUAUUGGGUCUUAAAGGGUCCGUAGCCCGGGCUUUGAUAAGUCCAUUUGGGAAAUCUGGCAGCGUUAACUGUCAGGCUUCUAAGGGAUACUGUCAGGCUUGGGACCGGAAGAGGUAAGGGGUACUCCAGGGUAGGAGUGAAAUCUUGUAAUCCCUGGGGGGACCAUCUGUGGCGAAGGCGCCUUACCAGAACGGGUCCGACGGUGAGGGACGAAAGCUAGGGGAGCAAACCGGAUUAGAUACCCGGGUAGUCCCAGCCGUAAACGAUGCUCGCUAUGUGUCAGGUACGGUGUGACCGUAUCUGGUGCCGUAGGGAAGCCGUGAAGCGAGCCACCUGGGAAGUACGGUCGCAAGACUGAAACUUAAAGGAAUUGGCGGGGGAGCACUACAACGGGUGGAGCCUGCGGUUUAAUUGGAUUCAACGCCGGAAAUCUUACCGGGGGAGACAGCAGCAUGAAGGUCAGGCUGAAGACCUUACCAGAUCCGCUGAGAGGAAGUGCAUGGCCGUCGUCAGUUCGUACUGUGAAGCAUCCUGUUAAGUCAGGCAACGAGCGAGACCCGUGCCCACAGUUGCCAGCAUGCCCUUCGGGGCGAUGGGUACUUUGUGGGGACCGCCGCUGCUAAAGCGGAGGAAGGAGCGGGUUACGGUAGGUCAGUAUGCUCCGAAACUCCCGGGCUACACGCGGGCUACAAUGGUUGGGACAAUGGGAAUCAACACCGAAAGGUGAAGGCAAUCUCCUAAACCCAAUCGAAGUCCGGAUUGAGGGCUGCAACUCGCCCUCAUGAAGCUGGAAUCCGUAGUAAUCGCGUUUCAACACAGCGCGGUGAAUACGUCCCUGCUCC